CCCUUAGAUGUUCUGGGCCGCACGCGCGCUACACUGAUGCAUUCAACGAGUCUAAAACCUGCUCUGAUAGGGGUGGGUAAUCUUUUGAAUGUGCAUCGUGAUUGGGAUAGAUGAUUGAAAUUUUUCAUCUUCAACGAGGAAUGCCUAGUAAACGCAAGUCAUCAGCUUGCAUUGAUUACGUCCCUGCCCUUUGUACACACCGCCCGUCGCUCCUACCGAUUGAAUGAUCCGAUGAAUAUCAUGGAUUGAGGAUGCAAGUAGGUUCACCUAUCUUCAUCUUCGAGAAGUGAAGUAAAUCUUAUCAUUUAGAGGAAGGAGAAGCCGUAACA
rnacentral:rRNA from 1 species